rnacentral:lncRNA from 1 species
AUGCUUUAUCUUCCUGGGAAUCGCAAUAAACCAGGCAGGUGUGAACCAAGUCGAGACUGUCAGGUGGAAGAAUCGAUGGUUUUUCCUUUGGCUGCUUGUGCAGGCAAGGGGAGCAGGCACAAGAGAAGCAUGUUGCCCAUCGAUGACCAGGGACCGAGAUGGAGGAGCACCUCUGGGGCCGCGUUCUGCACUCAGGUUCUGUGGAGUCCAUCUGUCCCUCUCAGCAGGUGACAUGCCCGUAUUUUUCAUACCCACCCAAUUUUGCAAGAAGCAGCAUUUGAAAAUAUUUCUCAAGAGAUUUAGGUGCUGUGAGCUUCCACCGUGCGCUUGUACCUAGAACCAUGUUGGGAUCGUGGUUGUGAUCUUUGCGCCGGCGCGGUGGGAUGUGGUGCGGGGCUCACAGGCCGGCAGCGCAGCGGGGUGGUGCUGCCGCCUCCCCAGCCCAUGCGUCGGUCUCACCGCUGG